GAUGAAGAACGUAGCGAAAUGCGAUACUUGGUGUGAAUUGCAGAAUCCCGUGAACCAUCGAGUCUUUGAACGCAAGUUGCGCCCGAAGCCAUUAGGCCGAGGGCACGCCUGCCUGGGCGUCACACGUCGUUGCCCCCCCAUCUACUCCUUCGGGAUUGCGGGGGGCGGAUGAUGGCCUCCCGUGCGCCUCGUCGCGCGGUUGGCAUAAAUGCCAAGUCCUCGGCGACACACGCCGCGACAAUCGGUGGUUGCGAAACCUCGGUUGCCCGUCGUGUGCGGUCGUCGCGCAUCGAGGGCUCGAAAAAAUUGCCGGGCUCCGGCUCGGCUUUCAACGCGACCCCAGGUCAGGCGGGGUUACCCGCUGAAUUUAAGCAUAUCAAUAAGCGGAGGA
rnacentral:misc_RNA from 1 species